rnacentral:ncRNA from 2 species
ACCAAGCUUUAGGGGUGCCUCUUUGGGCUGAGAUUAUACCCUUUGAACCUGAUGCGGAUCAUACCGUCGAAGGAAAAAGUGCAGCUUUUUUA